CAGCAGCCGCGGUAAUACGUAGGGUGCGAGCGUUAAUCGGAAUUACUGGGCGUAAAGCGUGCGCAGGCGGUUGUGUAAGACAGGUGUGAAAUCCCCGGGCUUAACCUGGGAACUGCGCUUGUGACUGCACAGCUAGAGUAUGGCAGAGGGGGGCGGAAUUCCACGUGUAGCAGUGAAAUGCGUAGAGAUGUGGAGGAACACCGAUGGCGAAGGCAGCCCCCUGGGCCAAUACUGACGCUCAUGCACGAAAGCGUGGGGAGCAAACAGGAUUAGAUACCCGAGUAGUCCCUGUCUCUUAUAC
rnacentral:rRNA from 1 species